AUUGAACGCUGGCGGCAGGCCUAACACAUGCAAGUCGAGCGGUAGAGAGGUGCUUGCAUCUCUUGAGAGCGGCGGACGGGUGAGUAAUGCCUAGGAAUCUGCCUAGUGGUGGGGGAUAACGUUCGGAAACGGACGCUAAUACCGCAUACGUCCUACGGGAGAAAGCGGGGGAUCUUCGGACCUCGCGCCAUUAGAUGAGCCUAGGUCGGAUUAGCUAGUUGGUGAGGUAAUGGCUCACCAAGGCGACGAUCCGUAACUGGUCUGAGAGGAUGAUCAGUCACACUGGAACUGAGACACGGUCCAGACUCCUACGGGAGGCAGCAGUGGGGAAUAUUGGACAAUGGGCGAAAGACCUGAUCCAGCCAUGCCGCGUGUGCGAAGAAGGUCUUCGGAUUGUAAAGCACUUAAGUUGGGAGGAAGGGUAGUAACCUAAUACGUUGCUACUUUGUACGUUACCGACAGAAUAAGCACCGGCUAACUUCGUGCCAGCAGCC
rnacentral:rRNA from 1 species